CCCGUAGACUCCCCGAUGGCUGCUCCAUCUUUACGUCCGAAUUGCAUGCAAUAUCGCUUGCACUUAUGGCCGUCAAAGCAUCAGAAAGGAGGAAAUUUAUAAUCUGCUCCGACUCCAAAUCUGCAUUGCAAGCUUUGGGGCGGAUGAAGACUGACAUUCCACUGGUACAUAAGAGCCUGAAGCUGUUGGACUAAAUAACAGCCGACAAUACGGAUGUCACCUUCAUCUGGAUCCCCUCCCAUGUGGGCAUUGAGGGAAACGAAGCCGCAGACAGAGAAGCAAAGAGAGCCCUAAAUCAUGCGGUGUCAGGAACUCAAAUUCCCUGCUCAGACCUGAGACAAAGUAUUGCCUCUGCCAUCUACCAAGAGUGGCAGGACCGAUGGGAGGCUGAGACUCACAAUAAACUCAGGCAGAUUGUGGCGGAUGUCAGGUGGCGGUCCACAUCUAAGGGUCUGACAAGGCGUGGUAGCACGACCAUGUCCAGACUUAGGAUUGGCCACACCUACAUCACGCACUCUUUUGUGCUGAAGAAAGAAGAGCCCCCACUUUGUGAGUAUUGUGACUCUCGCCUCACCGUGGAACAUAUCCUCAUCGACUGUCCCAGAUACCAGGAUGUCAGGGAAAAAUAUUUUAGAGCCAC